rnacentral:rRNA from 1 species
GAUGAACGCUGGCGGCGUGCCUAAUACAUGCAAGCCGAGCGAACAGAUAAGGAGCUUGCUCCUUUGACGUUAGCGGCGGACGGGUGAGUAACACGUGGAUAACCUACCUAUAAGACUGGGAUAACUUCGGGAAACCGGAGCUAAUACCGGAUAACAUAUUGAACCGCAUGGUUCAAUAGUGAAAGGCGGCUUUGCUGUCACUUAUAGAUGGAUCCGCGCCGUAUUAGCUAGUUGGUAAGGUAACGGCUUACCAAGGCAACGAUACGUAGCCGACCUGAGAGGGUGAUCGGCCACACUGGAACUGAGACACGGUCCAGACUCCUACGGGAGGCAGCAGUAGGGAAUCUUCCGCAAUGGGCGAAAGCCUGACGGAGCAACGCCGCGUGAGUGAUGAAGGUCUUCGGAUCGUAAAACUCUGUUAUCAGGGAAGAACAAAUGUGUAAGUAACUGUGCACAUCUUGACGGUACCUGAUCAGAAAGCCACGGCUAACUACGUG